CCUACGGGAGGCAGCAGUAAGGAAUAUUGGUCAAUGGAGGCAACUCUGAACCAGCCAUGCCGCGUGCAGGAUGACGGCCCUAUGGGUUGUAAACUGCUUUUAUACAAGAGAAAACCCUGGUACGUGUACCAGGUUGAUAGUAUUGUAAGAAUAAGCAUCGGCUAACUUCGUGCCAGCAGCCGCGGUAAGACGAAGGAUGCAAGCGUUAUCCGGAUUCAUUGGGUUUAAAGGGUGCGCAGGCGGACUGAUAAGUCAGUGGUGAAAUCUCUUUGCCUAACAAAGAAACUGCCAUUGAUACUGUCGGUCUAGAGUAUAGAUGACGUUGGCGGAAUAUGACAUGUAGUGGUGAAAUACUUAGAUAUGUCAUAGAACACCGAUUGCGAAGGCAGCUAACGAAACUAUAACUGACGCUGAGGCACGAAAGUGCGGGGAUCAAACAGGAUUAGAUACCCUGGUAGUCCGCACCGUAAACGAUGAUUACUCGUUGUUGGCGAUAUGACAGUCAGCGACCAAGCGAAAGCGANAAGUAAUCCACCUGGGGAGUACGCCGGCGACGGUGAAACUCAAAUGAAUUGACGGCGNGAGAGNGCGACGACGACGACGAGGGAGGAGG
rnacentral:rRNA from 1 species